AGCUAAACAGGUGGGGCUCUUCCCUGAAUGACUGGUCUCCACUGUUUGUUUAUAUUCUUCUGUCACGUUAAUCUCUAGCAACAUCAAUCCGUUGAACUGGUUGUUCCCAUAUAGAGUACUGAUUUUCAAAUCACUUGCUUGCCCUGCAUGAUUUCGGGAAAACUAGCCAACAGGGCGUAGUAAUAACACUACAACACUAAAUGUAGUAAUGAUGAAUUGUCCCAGUGUCAUUCUUACCUGAAACAAAUGUCCAGUCUUUCAACCGGUAUCUUCUUGUCUUUAUCUACACAAUAGCCAUGAUCAUUUGUCCUCUGUAUGGUGCUACCCCCGCCAUGGGGAACUUUAAUGAACUUCUGUUUGUACCACAGCACUGUAAUGCAACGCACGAUUUGAAAAUAUUGAACGCGUGCUGUAUACAGAACGCACGGCAGCCUAGUGUGGCAUCCUAAACAUAGUGUUGCGAAGUGCUCCAUUGGCAAUGAAUGACUUCAGCCGAACGCAAAUAGUUUGACGCAACUGGUUGAUAUGAUGCUUGAGGCACUACUGGCUAACGGUAGCUAGCUAGUCCACUGGCACUGGCUAGCUACCUUCACAACAAGACAUCGUGGAACCGCUUUAGGAGUUCCAGAUUUGGCUGCAGGAGGGUGGGCGGCGUUUGCACCGGGUUAAAGUGAUUGUUUUGAAAACCGGCCUGCCUCUCGGGCGUGAGCCUGGUGCCCCAUUCAAAGCCCACGGCGAUGUCGGCUCAAAACAAAGUGAGGAAACUAUGACGUCAUUGCUGUGUACGGGCAACCCCAGCAGCUCCUCCAGCAGACACGCCCCCCUUCUGUCUGCUGACCAAGCUGCCCACCAUCAGACAGGCGGUUCUGGCUGAUGACCAUAGCUGAUAGAAACCGAGAAGGAAUAUCAUCCCCAAUGAUACUACUAAUAUUUCUAACUGUACUGAUGAGGAAGAGGAGGGCAGACUUAUCCAUUGUCGCUGAACUGCUUGAAGUGUUCAGUCAAAAUUACAGUUACCACUAGUCACAUGUUCAGAAAGAUGUUAGGCAAAAAUAAUAACAAUACAGAACUGUUUUUGCUCUUCAAUUCGCUUCUGCCAAUCAUAUGUUCGAAACCAUUAUCAAGGAAACCUACAGUAGUUAAACUCUUUGCGUAGAUAGUAACCUGUUUGUUGGACACCAGUGAUUCUAAGAACAAGAAUAACUGUUACCUGUAGGACAAUGUCUCUAUCACAGGUCACCAAGGGCACAGUAAGGUAUAUCCUUAAUAAAAUAAUUUGUGAUGUUUAAUUGGGCAUGCCUCUCAUUUUCCAGUCGACAUGGAACAACUCAAUAUGCAUUAUAGUCAUACCUAUGGCUUGCAUAACCAACCAUCUCCCUGAGAUUUGAAAGUUGGACUGUUCAGUCCCUGGCCGAGUCAUACCAAAGACUGUAAAAAUGGGACUUGU